UAUCACCUCACACAACUAAAUAAGCUUUCAAUCUUUCCAAAUCUCCAUUUGACUUCAAUUCGACCUUAUAAACCCAUUUGCAGGGUAACGGUUUCUUACCUGUUGGCAAGACUACCUCUUCCCAAGUAAAAUUAGAGAUCAGAGCUUGGAUUUCAUCAUCCAUGCAAUUCUCCAACCAGGAUGACACAUGGCCUGUUGAUACUAGUCAGGUUACCUCACGUGGCAGCUGAUAUUCUAGCGGAUUGUGUAUUCUCAGAUUAGUGGUGAGGUCUUAGAUUUUGGAUCGUCAUUAGUCUAUCUUUAAUUCUCAGUCUUUUGUAUCAUUCAGAGACUUAUGUUGUAUCUUCAAACUCGAACCUUUUAUUAGAUGCUCUUUAUACUUA